rnacentral:lncRNA from 1 species
GCUAAUACUUGGAGUCUAGUGUAGUCUCCUUAGUGGGUCAUGCUCUGAUAGAUGUAACAUCGGGAUGGGAUGUUUUGAAUAUUUUAUUGAUUGGUUGUGAACCAUUUUACAUGUAAUAUGUUACAUGUUUUGAAUGAUAAUUUGAUCUCUAUCCGCUGCGUAUUAUGCAACUGUUUUAAUUGAUAAAUAAAUGAGCAUGACAAGCUACUUUGAUG